rnacentral:rRNA from 1 species
UGGGGAAUUUUGGACAAUGGGCGAAAGCCUGAUCCAGCCAUGCCGCGUGAGUGAAGAAGGCCUUCGGGUUGUAAAGCUCUUUUAGUCGGAAAGAAAAGAUCAUAAUGAACAAUUAUGAUUCAUGACGGUACCGACAGAAAAAGCACCGGCUAACUACGUGCCAGCAGCCGCGGUAAUACGUAGGGUGCGAGCGUUAAUCGGAAUUACUGGGCGUAAAGGGUGCGCAGGCGGUUUUGUAAGUCAGAUGUGAAAUCCCCGGGCUUAACCUGGGAAUUGCGUUUGAAACUGCAAGACUAGAGUGCAGCAGAGGGGAGUGGAAUUCCAUGUGUAGCAGUGAAAUGCGUAGAGAUGUGGAAGAACACCGAUGGCGAAGGCAGCUCCCUGGGUUGACACUGACGCUCAUGCACGAAAGCGUGGGGAUCAAACA